AUUGCCUCAGUAACGGCGAGUGAAGCGGCAAAAGCUCAGAUUUGAAAUCUGGUGUUAUGUUAACAUCCGAGUUGUAAUCUGUAGAGGAGUUUUUUUUGAGUAUUACUUUGGUUAAAGUUCCUUGGGAAAGGGCAUCAUAGAGGGUGAGAAUCCUGUUUAUGACCAUAGUAUUUCUCUAUUAUAAAUCUCCUUCAAUGAGUCGAGUUGUUUGGGAAUGCAGCUCUAAAUGGGUGGUAAAUUCCAUCUAAAGCUAAAUAUUGGCAAGAGACCGAUAGCGCACAAGUAGAGUGAUCGAAAGAUGAAAAGAACUCUGAACAGAGAGUUAAAGAGUACGUGAAAUUGUUGAAAGGGAAGCACUUGUGACCAGACAAAAUUGCAAUUAAUCAGCCAUCAGUUUCUGGUGGUGCACUUGAUUGUAAGUGGGUUAGCAUCAGUUAUAGCAGUANGACAAAAAUUGAAGGAAUGUAGCUCCUCUUUGAGGAGUGUUAUAGCCUUCAGUUUAAUACUGCUUGCUAUAACUGAGGAGAGCACUUUCAAGUAAGGAUGCUGACAUAAUGGUUAUAAGUGACCCGACUUGAAACACGGACCAAGGAGUCUAACAUCUAUGCGAGUAUUUGGGUUCCAGCCCUUAUGCAGAAUGAAAGUAAAUGAAGGUGGAAACCGUUAGGUGCACCAUCGACCGAUCCUGAA
rnacentral:rRNA from 1 species